AUGUGAUGAAACCUGACUGCUGGGAUGAGGGCUGUGAAGCAUAGUGCGUUUGUCUUUUUCAUUGCAGUGCCGUGAGGAGCGAGGGCUCCUUGGGACUGGAGCACAUCCCAUGCAGGUCCUGGCUUCUGGAGCACUUGUAGGGGUGCAGAUAUAUGGGUGAAUGAUGGAGUUAUAGAAAACCUCAAUUUGUAAGACCUCUUCAAGAAUCACCGAGUCUAGCUCCUGGAAGACAGACUGCCAUGCUCACCUGUUCUUGUGACUAUGUGCUGUUCACGUGACUAUGGUGCUCAGGAGACGUGUCGUCAAUUGUGUGGACCCACAUAAAACAUUUCAGGGAGCAGAAAGCUGAAGGCUUUCACAGAUGUGCAGAAGGAAGACAGUGUAAAUGCCAGUGAAUAAGAAGCUACUCCUCUCAUGUAAAUUCUGGACUCUUCCUCUGAAUCUUAUGUGGUGUCUGUAUGUAUAUUCACACACGCACAUGCAACACAUUCAUGCGUAAGUAUCCAAUC